UAGCAUGACGGAGGGGGCGGAAUGGGCGUCCUUCCCCUCUCCUCCCGUUCCACCCUCCGUGCCCGAGCGCCUCACGGACAAUUGUAUGUUGGUUCGUUCCGUGUAUUGUUACAAUGUUGCUUUUUUUGGUGAUUUAUUACAUUACCGAUUUUUCAAAUGUUAAUUUUCUCCCUGUGCUUAAAAAUCAUUAAAAAAGCGGCCUGAUUAUGCGGCGUAUGGUACACCGCGGGUUGGCUAGUAUAAGUUAUUU